rnacentral:rRNA from 1 species
AACGAACGCUGGCGGCAUGCCUAACACAUGCAAGUCGAACGAGACCUUCGGGUCUAGUGGCGCACGGGUGCGUAACGCGUGGGAACCUGCCCUUAGGUUCGGAAUAACUCCCCGAAAGGGGUGCUAAUACCGGAUAAUGUCUUCGGACCAAAGAUUUAUCGCCUUUGGAUGGGCCCGCGUUGGAUUAGCUAGUUGGUAGGGUAAAAGCCUACCAAGGCGACGAUCCAUAGCUGGCCUGAGAGGAUGAUCAGCCACACUGGGACUGAGACACGGCCCAGACUCCUACGGGAGGCAGCAGUGGGGAAUAUUGGACCAUGGGCGAAAGCCUGAUCCAGCAAUGCCGCGUGAGUGAUGAAGGCCUUAGGGUUGUAAAGCUCUUUUACCCGGGAUGAUAAUGACAGUACCGGGAGAAUAAGCUCCGGCUAACUCCGUG